AGCGAACGCUGGCGGCAGGCUUAACACAUGCAAGUCGAACGCCCCGCAAGGGGUGGCAGACGGGUGAGUAACACGUGGGAACGUACCCUUUGGUUCGGAAUAACUUGGGGAAACUCAAGCUAAUACCGGAUAAGCCCUUAUGGGGAAAGGUUUACUGCCGAAGGAUCGGCCCGCGUCUGAUUAGCUAGUUGGUGAGGUAAUGGCUCACCAAGGCGACGAUCAGUAGCUGGUCUGAGAGGAUGAUCAGCCACACUGGGACUGAGACACGGCCCAGACUCCUACGGGAGGCAGCAGUGGGGAAUAUUGGACAAUGGGGGCAACCCUGAUCCAGCCAUGCCGCGUGAGUGAUGAAGGCCUUAGGGUUGUAAAGCUCUUUUACCCGGGACGAUAAUGACUGUACCGGGAGAAUAAGCCCCGGCUAACUUCGUGCCAGCCGCCGCUGUAA
rnacentral:rRNA from 1 species